rnacentral:ncRNA from 2 species
AGUAAGGAUAGAGGCGCAGAGACCAUGAGUACAUAAUUUGAGGAUGAUGAGGUCCGAUGACGAUUGUGAAAAGGGGAAUCUGCCGAAGCUGAAAGAAUCUCAUAUUUCUUGAAGCUGGGUCUGUUAUUGAAUAAAUACAGAACUGUCAUAUAGGAAAAAACUAUAUGGAGGGCUAUCUUACGC